UCAGUAACGGCGAGUGAAGCGGCAACAGCUCAAAUUUUAAAGCUGACGUCUUUGGCGUCCGCGUUGUAAUUUGGAGAGGCAUCUUCGGUUUGGGCGCCAGCCUAUGUUCCUUGGAACAGGACGUCACAGAGGGUGAGAAUCCCGUGCCUGGCUGGCUGUCCCUUUCCAUGUGAAGUGCCUUCGACGAGUCGAGUUGUUUGGGAAUGCAGCUCAAAAUGGGUGGUAAAUUUCAUCUAAAGCUAAAUAUUGGCGGGAGACCGAUAGCGCACAAGUAGAGUGAUCGAAAGAUGAAAAGCACUUUGAAAAUAGAGUUAAAAAGUACGUGAAAUUGUUGAAAGGGAAGCGCUUGAGACCAGACUCGGCCGGAGAUGAUCAGCCGUCCUUCUGGGCGGUGCACUCGUUUCCGGCCGGGCCAGCAUCGGUUGAGACGGCGGGAUAAAGGCCCGGGGAAUGUGGCUCCUUUCGGGGAGUGUUAUAGCCCCGGGCGCAAUGCCGCCAGCCUCGACCGAGGACCGCGCUUCAUUGCUAGGAUGCUGGCGUAAUGGUCUUCAGCGACCCGUCUUGAAACACGGACCAAGGAGUCUAACAUCUAUGCGAGUGUUUGGGUGUCAAACCCUUGCGCGUAAUGAAAGUGAACGGAGGUGGGAACCCUCGCGGGGCGCACCAUCGACCGGUCCUGAUGUCUUCGGAUGGAUCUGAGUAGGAGCAUAGCUGUUGGGACCCGAAAGAUGGUGAACUAUGCCUGAAUAGGGUGAAGCCAGAGGAAACUCUGGUGGAGGCUCGCAGCGGUUCUGACGUGCAAAUCGAUCGUCAAAUUUGGGUAUUA
rnacentral:rRNA from 1 species